rnacentral:rRNA from 1 species
UACGUAUGGAGCAAGCGUUAUCCGGAUUUACUGGGUGUAAAGGGAGUGUAGGUGGCCAGGCAAGUCAGAAGUGAAAGUCCGGGGCUCAACCCCGGGACUGCUUUUGAAACUGCAGGGCUAGAGUGCAGGAGGGGCAAGUGGAAUUCCUAGUGUAGCGGUGAAAUGCGUAGAUAUUAGGAGGAACACCAGUGGCGAAGGCGGCUUGCUGGACUGUAACUGACACUGAGGCUCGAAAGCGUGGGGAGCAAACAGG